rnacentral:rRNA from 1 species
CGCAGCAAUGCGUUUAGCUGACGGAUACGAAUCGGUCGAGGGCUUAACCUC